AGCGAAAAUUACAGAGAAAGGUACAGACGAAGAAAUGCCAUUCUACUAACGGAAAUAUUGCUUUUGAGCUCGAGUAUUUAAAUAAUAUAAUGAAGAAGGCGAAUAUCGAGUGAGUGGCCCACAAAUUUUGAGGCUUAAAAAUAAAUCUUCGGGUUGUCUUCCAACCAAUGAAAGCACGGAUAUGGUCACGUGAUUGUGUUGGUACAAACAAACAGCCGAAACAAAACUCAAGUAGCUAUGAAUCACUUAAAUUUCGCAAUUAGGAAUUAAAAUCUACUGGUACACAGACGUCUUUGGCAAAACCGCGUGCUAUCUCCUGCAAUUGGUUAACCACUAAGCUGAAGAACAGUUUAUGCUUCGUAACAUCUGAGCUUUUCAGUAAAAAAGUUCUUAAUCUUCAUAAUAGUACUGUCAAGAAACAUUCGCGAUGGAUUUCUUCGCAAAAAAACCAACCAUGAAAAAACAAAUGCAUGAUGUGGAUAGGCAGCUGAGGAAAACUGGAAGAGAGGUUGAUAGGGAUAGACGAGAAUUAGAGAAGGAGGAAAAGAAAUUGGAGAUGGAGAUUAAAAAUGCAGCAAAAACUGGAAAUAAGCAAGCUUGCACAGUACUAGCCAAACAAUUGGUACAACUUCGAAAACAAAAAGAGCGGACAUAUGCUGCCAAUAGCAAGAUUACCUCAAUAAAUUCCCAAACAAAAGUAAUGGGUGCUAACAUGAAACUAGCUGGAGCUAUGACAACCGCUACUCAAAGUAUGGUGGCAAUGAACAAAACCCUGAAGCCAGAACAGUUGAGUCGAACUAUGCAGGAGUUUGGCAAAGCUUCCACCCAAAUGGAAAUGACUGAAGAGAUGAUGAGUGAUGCCUUGGAUGACAUUUUGAAUGAAAGUGGAGAUGAGGAAGCAGGUGAUUCUAUUGUCCAGCAAGUUCUGGAUGAAAUUGGCAUUGACAUAUCCUCAAAGGUUUCCAAAGCGCCAUCUGCUCCAUCCAGGCUGGGUGCGUCUUCUGCCACAGAUAACGAAUUUGCAGAUUUGGAAAAACAAUUGGCCAAACUGAAAAGUUAAUUAUCGAGGAAUCGAUCCUCCAUGAUUAUUAUUGCCUUGUGCGACUAUCGCCGGUGCCCGAGUACUAUUAACAUUCUUAUCUCUUCGUAUUCAAUUAUGUCUAUAUCGUUCGAAAAGAAAUGUUGAUACUACCCAUCAAUGUUUUUUUUUUCGACUGUCAACAAAUAGGUCUGCUCGUCUGCUGUACGCCGCAUUUCCAAAUAAUUGCAAACUUUGACAACAAUUCAAUUACAGCAUCAGCAUG